rnacentral:rRNA from 1 species
CCUACGGGUGGCAGCAGUGAGGAAUAUUGGUCAAUGGGCGCGAGCCUGAACCAGCCAAGUAGCGUGAAGGAUGACGGCCCUCCGGGUUGUAAACUUCUUUUAUAAGGGGAUAAAGUGAGGCACGUGUGCCUUUUUGCAUGUACUUUAUGAAUAAAGACCGGCUAAGUCCGUGCCAGCAGCCGCGGUAAGACGGAGGGUCCGGGCGUUAUCCGGAUUGAUUGGGUUUAAAGGGAGCGUAGAUGGGGUGGUAAGUCAGUUGUGAAGGUUGGCGGCUCAACCGUAAAACUGCAAUUGAUACUGGCAGGCUUGAGUUCAGUAGAGGUAGGCGGAAUUCGUGGUGUAGCGGUGAAAUGCUUAGAUAUCACGAAGAACACCGAUGGCGAAGGCAGCCUACUGAACUGCGACUGACGUUGAUGCUCGAAAGUGUGGGGAUCAAACAGGAUUAGAUACCCCGGUAGUC